rnacentral:rRNA from 1 species
UACGUAGGGCGCAAGCGUUAUCCGGAAUUACUGGGCGUAAAGCGUGCGCAGGCGGUUGUGUAAGACAGAUGUGAAAUCCCCGGGCUCAACCUGGGAACUGCAUUUGUGACUGCACAGCUGGAGUGCGGCAGAGGGGGAUGGAAUUCCGCGUGUAGCAGUGAAAUGCGUAGAUAUGACAUAGAACACCAAUUGCGAAGGCAGCUCACUACACGAAUAUUGACACUGAGGCACGAAAGCGUGGGGAUCAAACAGG